UGCAAGUCGAACGGUAUCUUCGGAUACAGUGGCGAACGGGUGAGUAACACGUAGGGUUUUUUCGCAUCAGGGGGAUACGCUCUGGAAACGGAGUCCAAGACCCCAUAGGAACCGAUAAGGCAUCUUAUUGGUUUGAAACAAGCAAAGGCAACUUGGCUUGGGAGGCGGAUGGACCUGCGGUGCAUUAGCUUGUUGGCAGUAUAAAAGACUACCAAGGCGAUGAUGCAUAGCCGGCCUGAGAGGGCGGACGGCCACACUGGGACUGAGAUACGGCCCAGACUCCUGCGGGAGGCAGCAGUAGGGAAUUUUCGUCAAUGGGCGCAAGCCUGAACGAGCAAUGCCGCGUGAGUGAAGAAGGUCUUCGGAUUGUAAAGCUCUGUUGCGGGGGAAAAAGGCAGACCACAGGAAAUGGUGGUGUGUUGAUGGUACCCCGCCAGAAAGUCACGGCUAACUACGUGCCAGCAGCCGCGGUAAUACGUAGGUGGCAAGCGUUAUCCGGAAUGAUUGGGCGUAAAGGGUGCGCAGGCGGCGGUUCAAGUCUGAAGUGAAAGGUGUGAGCUUAACUUGCACAGGCUUUGGAAACUGGACUGCUUGAGGACAGGAGAGGGCGGCGGAACUCCAUGUGUAGCGGUAAAAUGCGUAGAUAUAUGGAAGAACACCAGUGGCGAAGGCGGCCGCCUGGACUGUGCCUGACGCUGAGGCACGAAAGCGUGGGGAGCAAAUAGGAUUAGAUACCCUAGUAGUCCACGCUGUAAACGAUGAGGAGCAGGUGUCGGGGGUAGAGCCCCGGUGCCGAAGCAAACGCAGUGACUCCUCCGCCUGGGGAGUAUGCACGCAAGUGUGAAACUCAAAGGAAUUGACGGGGGCCCGCACAAGCGGUGGAGUAUGUGGUUUAAUUCGAAGCAACGCGAAGAACCUUACCAGGGCCUUGACAUGGGAUGCGAAGUCAUAGAGAUAUGGCAGAGGUUAUCAUCCACACAGUGGUGCAUGGUUGUCGUCAGCUCGUGUCGUGAGAUGUUCAGUUAAGUCUGGCACGAGCGCAACCCUUGUGAUAUGUUGCUACAUUGAGUUGAGACUCAUAUCAGACU
rnacentral:rRNA from 1 species